AAUAGAUACCCCGGUAGUCCUUGCCUUAAACGAUGCAUACUAGGUGUAGGAGGGCUCAACCCUUUCUGUGCCGGAGCUAACGCAUUAAGUAUGCCGCCUGGGGAGUACGCUCGCAAGGGUGAAACUCAAAAGAAUUGACGGGGGCCCGCACAAGCAGUGGAGCAUGUGGUUUAAUUCGAUGCAACGCGAAGAACCUUACCUGGGCUCGAAAUGUAGAGGACGAUAUCAGAGAUGAUAUUUCUCGAAAGGGUCUCUAUAUAGGUGCUGCAUGGCUGUCGUCAGCUCGUGCCGUGAGGUGUUUGGUUAAGUCCAGCAACGAGCGCAACCCUUAUCGUUAGUUGCCAACGCGUGAAGGCGGGAACUCUAACGAGACUGCCUGGGUUAACCAGGAGGAAGGUGAGGAUGACGUCAAGUCCGCAUGGCCUUUAUGUCCAGGGCUACACACGUGCUACAAUGGUCGGUACAGAAGGCAGCAAAACCGGUAAGGCGGAGCAAAUCCUCAAAAACCCGAUCUCAGUUCAGAUUGU
rnacentral:rRNA from 1 species